UGGUAGGACAAAGAGGGUGCACCAAGCCCUAAGAGCCCAGGUGAAGGCCUCCAGGAGACAAGAUGCUAGGCCAUCGCUGAAGAUGUCAACCUUGGCUGGACCUCACCUCUUCCGUGGCCUACCUUCCAGCCCUGGCCACCAGCCCCACUGGCUGCAGAGACCACUGGAUGUGAUGCUCUGGCAGCAAGCUCUUCAAAUCCCACCUCUUCCACUGACUAGCUGGGUCACCAUUGGCUAGUUGCUUAGCCUCUUUGAGCCUCAGUUUCUUUAUCUACAAAAAUGGGGAUAACGGUGGCUAUCCUAUCAAUUUUACUAAAAAUUAUGUGAGAGAGUGUUGAUAAAGCACUGGCUUAGUACCAGGCCUAUAGCAAAUGCCAAACCCGUGUCAUGGUUGUUGGUGUUAUUGGAGGCUUGCUGUGGGUGGAAGCGAACUCAUCGGUGCUCCCUGGUUGUGCUGCUGUCUCCUCCCCUUUGUCCUCUGGCAUCCUGUCUUCUGUACCAAUUGGCUCCCUCCCUCCAUUCAUGGCAAAAUUUGAGCUCAUUUCUCUCUUGCCUUUCAGUUUAAAAACUUGGCUUGCAUUCUUCCCAGGAACAGAACAAAUGGGCCUGUGCUUACAGGGGCUAAAGGAUUCUGAUAGGAAAGUUCCUCAGGAUCUUGGGGCAAGGUCAGGAAAGGUUGCCUUCUUAUCUCAGUGCUUGGAAAUUGGCAUAAGCAAGAACAGGUGAGGGGAGGGACUUGGCCACUUUUUAAAUGGAAGGGACAGUUGUUCCACUUGUGAGCGGUGAGUUCUUGGUAAAAUGGUGUUAGCUUUCUGAGGCCUGGGUGGUUGUGGCUGAGGCAGCUCUUUGUCUACCACAGACGCAUUCUCUCCCUUCUGCCCUUCCCUGGUGAGAGGUGCCUGUAUAGCCAGAAAUCCCUCGUCCUGGCUGUACUUUGUUGAAAUGCAGCCAUAUGACUCUCUCUAAAGGGAUGUGAGUGGCAGUGAUGUGUGCCACUUCUGAGCAGAGGCUCUCUCUUUCCAUUGGCAGGAAACAAAGGACUCCCAGGUGCUGAGGGAUGGCGGGACCACAAAAACAGAAGGUGCCUAUUCAACAUGUAGAGGAAAGCCACCUGUCAACUAGGAACACUUGUGUUGGCCUUUUGGCUGGCCUGAGGCCCUGAUGCGAGGCUGACAGUCGGGCACACGGAACCAGACUGAGCAUCCGCUUCUUGUCAGGGGGCACUGUGUGGCUGCCGGCUACGUCUCUGACUCUCCAAUCCCAAGUGCACUGCUCCCUGGAGCCCCGUCUGCCCCUGGUGGACCUGCACCGAGGAACGUGGACCAGCAUCACACCAG